rnacentral:rRNA from 1 species
UACGAAAGGAGCAGGUGUUAUUCAGAUUAACUGGGCGUAAAGGGUAGGUAGGUGGUCUCAUUUGUCUGGGGUGAAAGCCUUGAGCUUAACUCAAGAAGUGCCCUAGAAACGGUGAGACUAGAGUCCUGGAGAGGGUCGUGGAAUUCCCGGUGUAGCGGUGAAAUGCGCAGAUAUCGGGAGGAACACCGGUGGCGAAGGCGGUUCUCUGGGCCUUACCUGACGCUGAGGAGCGAAAGCGUGGGGAGCGAACAGG